GACGAACGCUGGCGGCGUGCCUAACACAUGCAAGUCGAGCGAGGAGAGUUCCUUCGGGAACAAACCUAGCGGCGGACGGGUGAGUAACAGUGGGCAACCUGCCUUGUAGAGGGGAUAGCCUUCCGAAAAGGAAAGAUUAAUACCGCAUAACAUUACAGUUUCGCAUGAAACAGUAAUUAAAGGAGCAAUCCGCUACAAGAUGGGCCCGCGGCGCAUUAGCUAGUUGGUGAGGUAACGGCUCACCAAGGCGACGAUGCGUAGCCGACCUGAGAGGGUGAUCGGCCACAUUGGGACUGAGACACGGCCCAGACUCCUACGGGAGGCAGCAGUGGGGAAUAUUGCACAAUGGGGGAAACCCUGAUGCAGCAACGCCGCGUGAGUGAUGAAGGUUUUCGGAUCGUAAAGCUCUGUCUUCGGGGACGAUAAUGACGGUACCCGAGGAGGAAGCCACGGCUAACUACGUG
rnacentral:rRNA from 1 species